UAAAAAUAGUUCCCGCUUCGGGAGAAAAUUUAUUUCAAUCCACUCCAUGUUGUAAUAGUUUGGUCUAGUUUUUUUGCCUUAUUCAAAUCAAAACGGCAAAUCAAAACUGCAGUCCCAUCAACACAGAUUAUACCGGUGUGCAGUUCCUCCCGGUGAAAUUUUAAUAAUCGCAUCCGCCGUAAGGACAAGUGAAUUAAAACCCUCAUCGGCACUUCAAGUCUCCGAUCGUACAUUGGAACGCAUUGGAACUCCAUUCAUCGCUCCAUAACAAGUUUUCCAUCAAUUCCCUGGAUUAUUGACGGGAAACUCUCAUCAGGAUAGUUCACUAUAUGUACAUAACAGCACCACACCGACUACAUAAAACAUGCCGGACCGUGAAAUUUGACACAUUCCAUCAAACCUGCUGCGAGGUGCCGAGUACCAGUGCUUCUAUCUCGGUUUCUAUAUUGGGACACAAGGGCACACUUCUAUACGGUAUGAAGCUGUUACGCAGGAGCACCGGACAUUAUUCAUUUGAUAAGGUAAAUAAAAACUAGAACGGGUAGACGUCUGAUGGUAGAUAUUAUCAAUGCAGUAGAAACCCAAAAUGUACGAUUAGCGAAGUUGGAUUUUUCUCACAAUCCGUACGCUAAACCUAACUUCGGAAGUGGUGCGCUCUUUUCAUCUCAUACAGCGUAUCACUUCCGAAAUUAGAUUUAACGUAUGUCCGUUGCAUUUCGAACACACUCAAAUUACUUAGAAAGGAUAUGUUUUAGAUAUUAUUUAGAAGUCCCUACAAAUGAACAAGAAUAGGUUACAGCAAUGCACAGUAUAAUUAAUAUUGUUAUUUUUGUGUUUACUCAUAGAUCGAACAUUUAGUAUAAUCGACUACGAAAAUUUAAUGUUGAAGCAGCAGAAAGCAUGCAGUUUCUGUGUUUGUUCUGUGUACAGUAAAUUUUUGUUGCUAAAUUCUGUAAGAAAACAAAUUUCAUAUCAGCUCUCUAAUGUUGAAGAUGAUGAUGGAGAAGAUCGAUACAGUAUCGAGUAUAAAAAAAUGUGUGUUAUGUAAGCGGUUCAUGCUUACUUGCUAUUUAUAUUCAGGAGAAAAAUCUUAUAAAUAAAUGUUUCGAAUGCUUGUUUAUUAUUCGUGCAGUUCCAUUUAAUUUCACUAUACUUGAAAUCAAGUAUAUUGAAAUUAAAUGGAACAGUGGGUUUGAUUCAUAAAUAACAUUUUUGAUUGAAAAGAAAACUAUGAACCUAAAUAUACCCAUAACUUUCAUGCUGAAAGUGACAAUAUUCAAUCUGUAUAGCAAGGAACACACUUAAUUUUAAGAAGAAAACUUGUAAUUUGCUCAUCGUGGAACAACAUUUUUUGUUGGUAAAUUUAACAGUCGAUUAGGGUAAAUGAUAUAUUUUGGACAUAUACAUAUUUUGGACAAGCCUGAGCUUCUUCGAUCAAUUUUAGAUAAUGUGUAGGAAAAUUUUUAUCGAAAGGAUGAUCAUUGCACAGUUUUAACUCAACUCUAGCCCCUCCUGAUGAGCAUUCACAAAUCAACUAUUAUUUAUCUUUAAAAUUAUCUAAAAUGUAAAGCUAUCUACCAAAGUGCCUGCUGGACGCCAGUAUGCAGGAGAACAUGCAUUAUAGGACUCUUCGUAACAUGCACCUGAAACACGUUUAAAUUGGUCCAAACGGCAAUCUUGAGGUCCUGCAGCCAAAGUUUGAUUAAAAUUGAGAUUCUAACAUAUUCCAAUCGAUUUUUUUGUGUGUAGAAGCCUUCGAUAGACAUCUUCCACUCACGCCCCGGAAAUUUCUCCAAAACUUGCUACAAGAACUGUCCCGAAAAAUUGUUUAUAAUUUUUU